rnacentral:rRNA from 1 species
AGAUGGCGACCGGCGCACGGGUGAGUAACACGUAUCCAACCUGCCGAUAACUCGGGGAUAGCCUUUCGAAAGAAAGAUUAAUACCCGAUGGUAUAAUCAGACCGCAUGGUUUGAUUAUUAAAGAAUUUCGGUUAUCGAUGGGGAUGUGUUCCAUUAGGCAGUUGGUGAGGUAACGGCUCACCAAACCUUCGAUGGAUAGGGGUUCUGAGAGGAAGGUCCCCCACAUUGGAACUGAGACACGGUCCAA